ACACAUGCAAGUCGAGCGGAAACGAUCCUAGCUUGCUAGGAGGCGUCGAGCGGCGGACGGGUGAGUAAUGCAUAGGAAUCUGCCCGGUAGUGGGGGAUAACCUGAGGAAACUCAGGCUAAUACCGCAUACGUCCUACGGGAGAAAGCAGGGGCUCUUCGGACCUUGCGCUAUCGGAUGAGCUUAUGUCGGAUUAGCUGGUUGGUGAGGUAACGGCUCACCAAGGCGACGAUCCGUAGCUGGUCUGAGAGGAUGAUCAGCCACAUCGGGACUGAGACACGGCCCGAACUCCUACGGGAGGCAGCAGUGGGGAAUAUUGGACAAUGGGGGCAACCCUGAUCCAGCCAUGCCGCGUGUGUGAAGAAGGCCCUCGGGUUGUAAAGCACUUUCAGUGAGGAAGAAGGCUUGUCGGUUAAUACCCGGCAAGAAAGACAUCACUCACAGAAGAAGCACCGGCUAACUCCGUGCCAGCAGCCGCGGUAAUACGGAGGGUGCGAGCGUUAAUCGGAAUUACUGGGCGUAAAGCGUGCGUAGGCGGCUUGAUAAGCCGGUUGUGAAAGCCCCGGGCUCAACCUGGGAACGGCAUCCGGAACUGUCAGGCUAGAGUGCAGGAGAGGAAGGUAGAAUUCCCGGUGUAGCGGUGAAAUGCGUAGAGAUCGGGAGGAAUACCAGUGGCGAAGGCGGCCUUCUGGACUGACACUGACGCUGAGGUACGAAAGCGUGGGUAGCAAACAGGAUUAGAUACCCUGGUAGUCCACGCCGUAAACGAUGUCGACUAGCCGUUGGGGUCCUCGAGACCUUUGUGGCGCAGUUAACGCACUAAGUCGACCGCCUGGGGAGUACGGCCGCAAGGUUAAAACUCAAAUGAAUUGACGGGGGCCCGCACAAGCGGUGGAGCAUGUGGUUUAAUUCGAUGCAACGCGAAGAACCUUACCUACCCUUGACAUCGUGCGAACUUUCCAGAGAUGGAUUGGUGCCUUCGGGAACGCACAGACAGGUGCUGCAUGGCUGUCGUCAACUCGUGUUGUGAAAUGUUGGGUUAAGUCCCGUAACGAGCGCAACCCCUGG
rnacentral:rRNA from 1 species